rnacentral:rRNA from 1 species
ACGGGUGAGUAAUGCCUAGGAAUCUGCCUGGUAGUGGGGGACAACGUUUCGAAAGGAACGCUAAUACCGCAUACGUCCUACGGGAGAAAGCAGGGGACCUUCGGGCCUUGCGCUAUCAGAUGAGCCUAGGUCGGAUUAGCUAGUUGGUGAGGUAAUGGCUCACCAAGGCGACGAUCCAUAACUGGUCUGAGAGGAUGAUCAGUCACACUGGAACUGAGACACGGUCCAGACUCCUACGGGAGGCAGCAGUGGGGAAUAUUGGACAAUGGGCGAAAGCCUGAUCCAGCCAUGCCGCGUGUGUGAAGAAGGUCUUCGGAUUGUAAAGCACUUUAAGUUGGGAGGAAGGGUUGUAGAUUAAUACUCUGCAAUUUUGACGUUACCGACAGAAUAAGCACCGGCUAACUCUGUGCCAGCAGCCGCGGUAAUACAGAGGGUGCAAGCGUUAAUCGGAAUUACUGGGCGUAAAGCGCGCGUAGGUGGUUCGUUAAGUUGGAUGUGAAAUCCCCGGGCUCAACCUGGGAACUGCAUUCAAAACUGUCGAGCUAGAGUAUGGUAGAGGGUGGUGGAAUUUCCUGUGUAGCGGUG